rnacentral:misc_RNA from 1 species
CGGCGUUUAUUUUAUGGCAUAACAAAUUAAGUGUUUUGAUUUUAAUAUUUUUUUAAUAUUAUCAAUUUUUAUUGAAAUUCAAAUGUGGGAUUUCAUUAUUCUAAUGAUAAAGUAUGACUAGGGAGAAGUGCAACAUAUUUAAACAACUUCUUCUCUACGUUUUGUUGUCUGCCUAGUGCUGGGUGCUGAGAAUCUAGUUCUCGACUCGUUCACUUUAUUUGUCGUUUACUUGGCUUGGAUAUGGUGGGCG